rnacentral:lncRNA from 1 species
CAUCUGGCUGCCCUCCCCACCCCCAAUGAGACAACCACCCAUCUCCCUAUGGGAAUACCAAGUAGGAGCAGGUAGCUGAGAGGAGUGUUCGGGAGCCAAAAUAACCCCCGACCAUUGAAAACAGGAUGAAUGCAUGCCGAGCUGAAUACAGGGCUGAGACAAUGCAGGGGGAGAGGAGGCCUGCGACUGGAAAGAUAAAGACUAAACACAAGAUCAACUCUCCCUUUUCUGUCUCUAAUGGGAUUCUGCCCAUUAUGUUUCCAUCUUCUCUCUUCCUCAUCGUUGUAAAAUAGGUGAAAGUUGAUAAUUAUGGAAAAAAUCCACCCCUCUCCGUCAGUCAAAGGCUGGGGGAUGAAUAACAAACAAGUGAGCGCAGGUUGGGCCUCGGCAUGUCAAUCACAGCUCUGAAUGCAGACUGUGUCACAAACAUGUCCGUGUGCUGUCAACAAGUGUCAGGGGCUUAUGUUUCAGGCUUAUGUUUCGCCUCCAGGGAUAUUCUAAACCAAGGAAUUCCUCAACAAACCUUUGAUUGAAAAAGUGCACGGAAAAAAAGAAAGAAACGGUGAGUAUCUGCUGGAUCACGAUUAAGGUGUAUGAAAUGAACUUGAAGCCAAGCCAGGGAUUAAUAACAGGUUUUCACAAAUGCACAUCUGCAAAUAAUAUAUGUGGAAUGUUUGAUUUGUACGAUAAAAAAGCGACAGAGCCACACUUUCAUCGUGAUUUUUCAGAAGUGUAAGCGAGCACAUUCUUCACACAUUUACUUUACCACAGACAGAUGUUAUGAAGGGAAACUGAAGGCAAACUUAGUUUAAAAGAGCAUUAAAUGAGACAAUGACACUGCAGAAAAAAAUACAUCAGACCUCAAGGUUGUUUAAUUUCAAACGUUAAUAUAUUUGUCUUCUAAUUCAUAGUGAACUAUUCAACCAGCUUUGACACUCCUAUAGGUCACCUCCAAUAUGCAGCAACUACAGAAGAGCCCCAGUAAGAGGUGACACAUUUAACAAUGCGUUUUCAAAAUAAAUAUUUUUUUCAUUAUAAAAUAAUAAACCUUCAAAUAAAUAUAUAUUUUUUUACUUUACACUAAGCAAUGUUGGAAUUAGAAAAUAUUUGUUUUCAUAAAAUGUCACUGUACAAUUUACAAAUAGAAGGGAUAAGAUUUUUCCUUUGAAUAUUACAUUAAAUUGAUUGAUGAACAUUCCAGUGAAUGUAAAAAAAAGACAAACAAACCCCCCCCCCAAAAAAAACAAAAAAAACAAAAAAAACUAAGAAAGAAAGAAAGAAAAAAAAAAAACAUUGUAUGAAUGAAGUUUACUGAGUCCUAUAAACGCAAAUUUAUCAAGUUGCCUCUGGUAUGGCUGAAAGGUUUUCACAGUUGAAGCAUUAUUAUAUGUACAAAAAUAAAACCUCUGUCAAAGUCAUUUCCUAAUGUACAUACCCUUUGUAUUUACUACUAUACAUACAGUUAGUAACAGGAAUCUGUUCUUAGCAUAUAAGUCGUAUUAAAUGUUAAAAAAAAAAAAAAGACUAUCCAUUUGGACUCUCGUUGCAACAACAUCAUCUGGGCACUAUCUGGGCAAAUAAAAUAAUUUUUCAGGACAAAACAGUAGUUGUGUAUGUCUUCAUACUUUUGUGGUAUGAAGUGUGGAGCGCUUAUUUUGGUUUACCUUUCAAGUGAACCUCAUCAUGUUACGGUGAGUGAGUGCACCUCCAGA